rnacentral:rRNA from 1 species
UGUCGAUGAAGAGUGCAGCUAACUGUGUGAAUUAAUGUGAAUCGCAUAUGGCUUUGAACAUCGACAUCUUGAACGCAUAUUGCGGCUACGGGGUAUCCUGUGGCCACGUCUGACCGAGGGUCG